GUGGCAGGCAGCGCUGCUCCGAGCUCUGACUCAGCCGGGCAGCCCAGCCCUAACUGCUGUUGACACGUGAUAACACGUGUUUGUUUAGCUGGAGCCACUCACCCAAGGGGUUAAUGUUCAACUCCCCCGUCCCCCGGAGCCGUGGCAGGUUGCUGGGUGGCGAGACCCUCGCCAGCCGGGCUGUGCUUCCUCCCCAGACAGCGAUGCUGACCGCUUCCACUGUGGGCAGGAAGAGAAAGCGUGAUAGGCCGGGGCCGAGCAGGAGGCAAGAGAGCACCGGCCCCCUCGCUGCCACCAAGAGAAGGAGGAAGAGGCAUGAGGUGGAGGGCUGCCCAGUGGGAGGUGAGGGGCCCUGGGGCAGUGCCCAAGCCCAGCGCCACCUACUUCUGAAGUUCCACCCAGGGCCCCGGGGACAGUCAGUGGGCACAGUGAGGAUGCAGAGGGGCAGCCGGGCUCGCAGCCGGGCCUCGGUCAGAGAAGAGGCAGACCCGGGCAGCGUGGGGCAAGCUGGGGUGUAGGCCACACCCUAUGCCAGGCAGCCAUCCGCCCAGUCAGGUAAACAGACUGCAGCCGGGGUGGCAGCAUGUUACUGCCACGUGGCUUCCAAAGGCCUCCGUGUCAGUUGGCUUGAGAGGGGCCCGUGAAGAUGAGCAGACCUUGGACUCUGGCCAUUGGGCUGCGGAGGACCGGAUUCUCCCUCCCCCAGCUUUGGCCACCCACAGACCGGCUGUCAGCAGGGCCACUCACUCCGGGAUGCGAUGCCUUCAUUCACUCCCUCAUUCAUUCAUUCAUGGGGCGUUUGCUGAGCGUCCACUCUGCACCAUGAUCUACACUGGGCACCAGGGAAUCCCCUGUCCCGGCCCUCGGAUUGUCCACAGUCCAACAGAGAGACAAACACACACACACACACACACACUGUAGCUGGGGCUCUGAUGAGGGCAGCCCAGGGGACAAGGGACACAGGAGGCAUCCUGGGGAGGGUGGCAGGCACAGCAGGGAAGGCUUCUCAGAGGAAGUGUCCAUUGAGCUUGGUUUUAGGGGAUGUGGAGUUGGGUCCUGGAAGCAGGGAGGGGCCUGGCCUACCCCAGGAGCAAAGCCCCAGCCAGACUUUUACUGCAUGCCCCCCACUCAUUUACCCCCAACGGCCUCUUCCCUGGGCCGAGAGCUGAGGCCUCAGACGCGGCCCUGGACUGACACGAUCUCCUUCUACAACCAAAUCAGCACCCCCUUCACAACACGCCGAGAUAUUUCAAGAAGGAAAUGGAGAGGUGCGUGGUGGGGUCAUGAAACACGGGCUCUGGGAGCAGACUGACCCGGGGUUGAGCCUGGGCUCAGCCACUUGCUGGCUGCAGCCUUCGUCUUUCUGAGCCUCGGUUUCCUCAUCUGUGAAAUGGGUGCCCGUGGAGCUUUGGUGAGGAUUAGACGAGAUGACCGGUUUAAUGUGCCUGGCAUUGGAUCAGCUCUCCGUAAGCCCCAGAUCUCGGCUGUGUAGGAGGCCCCCCGAGAACACUGAGGCUGGCACUCAGCAUUGGUGUGGACGGAGGACACGGAGACCUCCCGGAGAACAUGCCUUCCUCCGCGGCUUCCUGAACCUGAGCUGAGUGUCAGCUGCUUCAGCACGUCCCUGCUACCUCCUCCAAAGUCCGCCCGACCCCUGCCGCCAAGGAGGCAAACAGGAAGGGACCAGGGACAGGCUUGGUUCCCUUGUCAUGGUCAUUCGCUAUGUCCACCUGCUCGAGGUCAGCCCCCUUCUUUGGAAAAGGUCACUUCCCUGUUCUCAGUCCACGUGGCUCAGGGUGGACCAGCCUCCCAAGCCCUCCAGCCUGAGUGCAGGGCUGGCCAAUCCAGAGGGCGUGUCCCCUGGACACUGUGACAGUCUAGGGAUGGACAUAUGACCAAGCUGGGCCAACACAGGGCACCUUUGGGAUUUAGCUGGGGCCCGAGGGGAGGAGGGGGGAGCUCUCUCCUCCAGGGUUGCUCCACGGGUGGGACAUGAGCCUGGAGCCACUGCUCACCUUCUUGCCACCACGAGGUGCUUGCCAGCAUCCCCAACUUCUUCCAGUGCCUUCCUUACCAGGUCCUGUCUCAGGCACGGUGCAGCCAGGAAAACAGGAUUUCAAGCAGAGAAGGAUUGAAUCCGGGCUCUUAGGCGCUUCUAGAACCCCUGAAAGAGCUGGAAGAGUGAAGAGCAGGCAGCACCCCCCGCCCCGACCUUGGUGUUUGGAAAUCAGGAAGUGCCGGAAUUGCAGGCGCCCCUGCACCACAACUGGACUGGCCCUGAGCUAACAUCCGUGCCCAUCUUUCCAUCUUCCUCUACUUUAUGUGGGACACCUGCCACAGCGUGGCUUGCCAAGCGGUGCAUAGGUCUGUACCCAGGAUCCGAACCAGUGAACCCCAGGCCGCCAAAGUAGAAUGUAUGAACUUAACCACUGCGCCACCAGGCAGGCCCCUAUUCUUUGUUCUAAAAAGAUAUAAGACGUGUACUGAAAACCACACUUCUCCAGAACGCUUUCCUCCUUCCUGAAAAAGGCCUUCCCAGGUUAUAAUCCUCACCCUGCCUCAAGUAAAAC
rnacentral:lncRNA from 1 species